rnacentral:rRNA from 1 species
GAUGAACGCUGGCGGCGUGCCUAAUACAUGCAAGUCGAACGAAACUUCUUUAUCACCGAGUGCCUGCACUCACCGAUAAAGAGUUGAGUGGCGAACGGGUGAGUAACACGUGGGCAACCUGCCCAAAAGAGGGGGAUAACACUUGGAAACAGGUGCUAAUACCGCAUAACCAUAGUUACCGCAUGGUAACUAUGUAAAAGGUGGCUAUACUACCGCUCUUGGAUGGGCCCGCGGCGCAUUAGCUAGUUGGUAGGGUAAAGGCUUACCAAGGCAAUGAUGCGUAGCCGAAUUGAGAGGUUGAUCGGCCACAUUGGGACUGAGACACGGCCCAAACUCCUAGGGGAGGCAGCAGUAGGGAAUCUUCCACAAUGGGCGAAAGCCUGAUGGAGCAACGCCGCGUGGGUGAAGAAGGUCUUCGGAUCGUAAAACCCUGUUGUUAGAGAAGAAAGUGCGUGAGAGUAACUGUUCACGUUUCGACGGUAUCUAACCAGAAAGCCACGGCUAACUACGUG